UAUCUAGGGACAAUCUUUCGAAGGGAGC
rnacentral:piRNA from 1 species